rnacentral:rRNA from 1 species
CUUCCAGACUCCUACGGGAGGCAGCAGUGGGGGAUAUUGCACAAUGGGGGAAACCCUGAUGCAGCGAUGCCGCGUGAAUGAAGACGGCCUUCGGGUUGUAAAGCCCUGUCAGCAGGGAAGAAAAUGACGGUACCUGACCAAGAAGCCCCGGCUAACUACGUGCCAGCAGCCGCGGUAAUACGUAGGGGGCAAGCGUUAUCCGGAUUUACUGGGUGUAAAGGGAGCGUAGACGGCAAGGCAAGUCUGGAGUGAAAUGCCGGGGCUCAACCCCGGAACUGCUUUGGAAACUGUGCAGCUAGAGUGCGGGAGAGGUAAGCGGAAUUCCUAGUGUAGCGGUGAAAUGCGUAGAUAUUAGGAGGAACACCAGUGGCGAAGGCGGCUUGCUGGACCGUAACUGACGUUGAGGCUCGAAAGCGUGGGGAGCAAACAGGAUUAGAUACCCUCGUA